CCCAGAGCCGCCAUCGGAGGUCAGACCUCAG
rnacentral:rRNA from 1 species